GCGGCUCACAUCUAAGAACUGUGGCACAGGGAAACCGGAAGCUGGAAAUUUCCCUUCCGUCUUGGUCCUUGAUGACUGGUGAUUGUCGCUGAGGGUAAAUGGGGAAAGGGGGUGAUUUUAUACAUUGAGCAAGACACCAAGUGCUAAAGGAUGUUCUCAUGGAGAUGAGCAAGGAGCUAUAAAUCUCUGAGGGGUUUCCUGGAGAAAGACUGAACCAGCAAUUAAAGACGUUACAGAUGAGGAAUACACACGUCCCCUGCCUGGUAUCUGUUGCGGUUGCCCUUUCUUCAAUCACCCACAGCUGGAGUAAUUGGAUCUUUAGGCACAGGUUAAUGGGAUAAUUAGGCAAACACGAUCAAACAUGUACACUGUGAGGAAAUGGAUGAGCGCUAUCUCCCAGCCUCCUGUCGUACGCAGUGCUUCCUGCAACCUGUUCUUCAUUUCUAUGGGCAAUAAAGUAGGAGAUGGAUUAGCUCUGA